rnacentral:rRNA from 1 species
AAACUAACAAGGAUUCCCCUAGUAGCGGCGAGCGAAGCGGGAAGAGCUCAAAUUUAUAAUCUGGCACCUUCGGUGUCCGAGUUGUAAUCUCUAGAAAUGUUUUCCGCGUUGGACCGCACACAAGUCUGUUGGAAUACAGCGGCAUAGUGGUGAGACCCCCGUAUAUGGUGCGGACGCCCAGCGCUUUGUGAUACAUUUUCGAAGAGUCGAGUUGUUUGGGAAUGCAGCUCAAAUUGGGUGGUAAAUUCCAUCUAAAGCUAAAUAUUGGCGAGAGACCGAUAGCGAACAAGUACCGUGAGGGAAAGAUGAAAAGCACUUUGGAAAGAGAGUUAACAGUACGUGAAAUUGUUGGAAGGGAAACGCUUGAAGUCAGACUUGCUUGCCGAGCAAUCGGUUUGCAGGCCAGCAUCAGUUUUCCGGGAUGGAUAAUGGUAGAGAGAAGGUAGCAGUUUCGGCUGUGUUAUAGCUCUCUGCUGGAUACAUCUUGGGGGACUGAGGAACGC